rnacentral:lncRNA from 1 species
AUGCUUCAGGACCCGGAGAAAAAGCCAAAAUGCUUCUGUGCAGAGAGGGUUUGGGGUGAGCAAACGAGAGCAGAUGGAAAUGCAUUGCCUGUAAAUGGGAGAGGCAGAGGUCUGCAGAGCCAGGAGCUUCACCCUGUGAGGAGCCCGGCUGGGUGUGAAAAAGGGUCUCAGUGCAAGCUGAGCAGAGGAAGGGGGAAGACGUGUGGCAGAGGGAGGCUGUGUCUAAGCACAGUUGUUCAGGCACCUCCAGGAGGCAAUAGCAGCCCUUUUAAUCCAGAAGAAACCAGCAGAGCCUCCCCUCCUGCCUGGGAGGCUGACAAAGGGAGCUCCCGGAGGCAGAAGUCCUCUCUCUUCUGAAAAGCUCGGGGAAGUUCCCUGCCAGUCACCGGAGACAGUCAGAGUUUCCAUCGUCUUUAUCUUCAGUGUGCUGUCGCCUGGGUCUGCCCGGCUCUCCUUCCUCUGUACUUACCCCCCAGCGGCAAAUAACUCCGACUCCCUGGUUUUAUGAACAGUGACGGAGGUUUAACACCCACAAAGGCUUUCAUUUCCCCUAUUGGCAUUUAAUCACAGGUCUUGUUCACUGGCCUGCUUAGGAAAAAAAAAAGGGAAAACAGCAGGAAAAUGCAUCUCCCAAGCAAAGUGGCUGCUGUUGUGUGCCAGGGAUGCUUGGUCAGCGCGUUUGCAGCUGUGCUCGGGGCAGGGUUACAGUGCCCAGCUGGGUCCUGCCACUGAGGCAGGCAGGAGGGGGAUGCAUGGGAACUGCAGAAUGUUUUACAGCAGCGAGGGACUCAAAUAGGCUCGAUGUUAGUUAAAAUAAUGCUCAGCAAAACCCUCCUACCUGGCAAUGCAAGCAAACUCCAUCUGGUGAGAAAACAUUUAAGACUUGUACUUAAAAUGCACGUCGCUACCAAAGUCCCGAAAUAGAAUUGCCUUUACCUAAUCGCAGCACUGUACGACUUGAAGGCUUCAGAAACAGUUAAAUGUGUGUCCAGAGAAAAGGUAUUACCAGGGUAAUUGGGCUAUAAACCAGAACAUAGACAUGGAGGGACUCUGUCUGGCAACACCACGGUAAUCUGGAGAGCAGAAUUUGAUUCUCUGUAAUCCUGGGCUGCGUGUGUUGCUGCAUUAAAAAAUUUCUCAGUGGCAUUGUACAUGCCUGAAAAGCAAUGUAAUAUUUUAACGAGAAAUUUCUCCUAUUACAACCCUGUGUUUAGCAUAGCUCUUUCCCGAGUCCUCUGGAUGAUUGUUUGCAAGUAUCUGAUUGUCAGGAAGAAAAGGUAAUUGUGGAAAGAAAAUGAGAGACUCGAGAAAACUAUUUUGGAAGUUGAGCAGAAUUGUGGCAGCACGGCUGAUUGCC